rnacentral:rRNA from 1 species
CUCGUAGGCGGUUUGUCGCGUCUGCCGUGAAAGUCCGGGGCUCAACUCCGGAUCUGCGGUGGGUACGGGCAGACUAGAGUGAUGUAGGGGAGACUGGAAUUCCUAGUGUAGCGGUGAAAUGCGCAGAUAUCAGGAGGAACACCGAUGGCGAAGGCAGGUCUCUGGGCAUUAACUGACGCUGAGGAGCGAAAGCAUGGGGAGCGAACA